rnacentral:rRNA from 1 species
AAUGGGCGCAAGCCUGACGGAGCGACGCCGCGUGAGGGAUGACGGCCUUCGGGUUGUAAACCUCUUUUAUUAAGGAAAAAGGUUUUCGUGCUAACACCACGGAAAUUUGAUGGUACUUAUUGAAUAAGCCCCGGCUAACUACGUGCCAGCAGCCGCGGUAAUACGUAGGAGGCGAGCGUUGUCCGGAGUUACUGGGCGUAAAGAGCGUGUAGGCGGUUGGAAAAGUGAGGUGUGAAAUUCUUCGGCUCAACCGGGGGACUGCGCCUGAAACUUUCCGACUGGAGUUCGGGAGGGGCAACUGGAAUUCCUGGUGUAACGGUGAAAUGUGUAGAUAUCAGGAGGAACACCGGUGGCGAAGGCGGGUUGCUGGACCGAAACUGACGCUGAGGCGCGAAAGCGUGGGUAGCAAA